UUGAGGUCACAGUGCUCAGUGACAGAAGCCAGCCACGAAACAGCAGAUAUGAUUCCUCUUACACGAGGUCCCUAGAGGAGCCAAACUCAUGGGGACAGCAAGCUGGAAGUUAAACAAAUAAAGCCUUCACAAGAGGAAUAACGCACCAAACUGAUCUCCAUCCACCCCUGAGUGAACGUCCAUCCACGUGACACCAACUUGGCUUGGGAACAGAGAGACCGCAGAAUCCAGGACGCACGUGGGAGGCAGAGAAGCACCCAGGGAGGAGCCCCAGAGUAGGCCCUGCAGGAGGCGAGUCAUGGCAGGCGUGCCAGUCAGCUCACAGAGUGACCCUGAAUGCACAGCGCGGCACAGGAGGCCACUGCUUAUGGGAAAUCGACGUUUAAUGGAUAAUCAGCCAUGCACUGAGCCUGAGUAUUUUGUGUAUUUUGUUUAAUUCUUACAGUCACCCAAGGAGGAAAGAACCAUCAUUCCCACAUUCCAGAUGAAAAAACUGAGGUUUCCAAGGGCCAGGGGGCCUGCCCAGCAUCAAUUGGUCAGUUGGGAAGCCCCCUCUGUGGCCCUUCUCAGUCUCUAGCACAUUGGUUUGACCUCUGACCUUUGAGGGUGCAAGGGGCAAGCUCAAGUUCAGAACUUUGGUAGAAAAUAAUUUCUUUUAUUAUAUAGAAAUGUCUAAACUUUAUCAUCCACCAAAAUCAUUUGACCUGUAUCUCUGAUUUUUUA